rnacentral:sRNA from 1 species
GCUGUGUACUGUUGGACCAGUCCUUAAGAUUUUGGAUAUUCCGCUUUCUCCAUCCAAACUCCACUUUCUUCAUGGGUAAACUCAAGCCCUUUCUACUGAGUUUUCAGGGUGGAUGGGCUGAAUAAAUAUGAAUUGUGCAGGGCUCUGUAGUAAUAAGAAAAGUGUGCUGGCUAUUGUGUCAAUGUGCUUUGGAUGGGGAGGAAAGAUAAAAAUGGGCACUCAUGAAGGUAAGAGCAACAGCGCUUGGCUGCCACAUCUUCAAUCCCUGUCUCUCCUCCCCCAGGUAUGGAAGCGUUCUGGAGCGUGGUUCUUCAAAGGCUUCCCCAAACAGGUCCUCCCACAGCCUAUGCCUAUAAAGAAGACCAAGCCCCAGCAGCCUGUCAGUGAGCCUGCUGCCCCUGAACAGCCUGCUCCUGAGCCCAAGCACCCUGCCCGGGCUCCAGCUCGAGGUAGGACAAAACAGGUGCUUCUUUCGGGACCAAGGACAGAUCUUAGCCAACUGGUCUACCUGAGUGAGGGUGGCCUGACAUCAUGUCUGUGUUUCCACCCAGUUGUUGCAUGGUCAGCUUCUGGAUUUGGGUCUAGGACUCCUAUAUCUCCUUCAUAAUUCACCAUAAAUCCUUAUCAAGAGGGUAGUGCAGGGAACUCUCCGGCAAUGCCAAGCUGCCCAGAGGCUUCGUUGUCAUCCGUGGUGGAAUAUCUAGUGUAAAAGAGGUAGAAAUUAAAGUUAGGAACUGAGAGAGACUUUCACCACCAAGAUCACACUGGAGCCUGGGAGAAUACUCAGCUUGCUGAGAAGGCCUUCCUGGACCCUGAUAUUUCUCCUACUAUCCAUAAGCAAGUCUGAUUUGGACUAAGUAAAAGUGAAAGAUGAAUAGAAGGAAAUCAGUAAAAGAAAAUUACUGCUACUAAAUUGCUACUAUUGACAUUAUCACUAUUAUCCAAGUAUUAUGAUUAAUUAUUAAAACGAUUAGGAGGGAGAAGCAAAACAGUAAAAAUUUUAAAAAGCAACAAUAGUAAAAGUACAUUUUAGUUGGACCAGACCAGUAGGACUGACCAGAUAAAGCCCUUGCAAUAAUUUCAACUGACGCUAAGUGGUAAAAUCUGGACUAAAUGACAAUUCCAGAUUGAGUGCAGGUGGUACUUCUGAAAGGAAGGGUACAGCGUUUUUCAUAAGAUAACUUAUCAAGGCCCUUAGCACAAUGCCUGCCACCUAAAAGGCAUUCAAUAAAUGUUUUCUUCAAGGCAAGAGCAAUUUCUACUCCUUGCAGAGAAUCACCAAAUUGUCAACAUACAUAUAUAGCAUUCCCGAGUCCCCAGUUUUCACCACUAAAAGAUUCCUUCUUCCUAGUUCUUCUAGGCUGAAAAGGCUGCAUAGCACAAUUGUUCUUUAUAAAGCCUGUGUAUGCUCGUAUGCAUUUGUGCAUGCAAAAAAAAAUGUGAAAUUGUAAACAGGAGCUAGAUCAAAGAGGAGGUUGGAAGAAAGACUUUUAAUUUUUAAAACAUAUUCUUAGGCAAUAGUCAAUGAACCCCUUUGUAGGCUUCUUAAGUACUGGUUUUCCAGACACCAGAAAACCAGUACUCCUCAUAAUUUGUGUUUUCUUUCUCCAGGUGACAGUGAAGAUAGGAGGGGCCCAGGUCAGAAGACAGGCCCUGACCCGGCCUCUGCUCCUGGGCGAGGAAGCUAUGGGCCUCCCGUGCGCAGGGCCUCUGAGGCACGAAUGAGCUCAUCUAGCCGGGAUUCAGAGAGCUGGGACCACAGCGGGGGUGCUGGAGACUCCAGCCGGAGCCCAGCAGGUUUGAGACGGGCCAACUCAGUCCAGGCCUCCAGACCUGCCCCAGGCUCGGUGCAGAGCCCAGCGCCACCUCAGCCUGGGCAGCCAGGGACCCCAGGAGGUAGCAGACUGGGUCCUGGGCCAGCAGGACGCUUUCCAGAUCAGAAGCCAGAGUUGGCUCCGAGCGACCCCGGGACCACUGCCCCAACCCGAGAAGAGAGAACAGGGGGAGUCGGGGGCUACCCAGCAGUUGGAGCCAGAGAGGACCGAAUGAGCCACCCCUCCGGACCCUAUUCCCAAGCAUCUGCAGCUGCCCCCCAGCCUGCCGCAGCCCGCCAGCCACCACCCCCAGAGGAGGAGGAAGAGGAAGCCAACAGCUACGAUUCGGAUGAAGCAACCACCCUGGGUGCCCUGGAAUUCAGCCUUCUCUAUGACCAGGACAACAGCUCCCUGCAGUGCACCAUCAUUAAGGCCAAGGGCCUGAAGCCCAUGGAUUCAAAUGGCUUGGCUGAUCCCUACGUUAAGCUGCACCUCCUGCCAGGAGCCAGCAAGUCCAACAAGCUUCGUACAAAAACUCUGCGGAAUACCCGGAACCCCAUCUGGAAUGAGACCCUUGUGUAUCACGGCAUCACCGAUGAGGACAUGCAAAGGAAGACCCUCAGGAUCUCCGUCUGUGAUGAGGACAAAUUCGGCCACAAUGAAUUUAUUGGUGAGACCAGAUUCUCCCUCAAGAAACUGAAGCCCAACCAGAGGAAGAAUUUCAACAUCUGCCUGGAGCGAGUGAUUCCUAUGAAACGUGCUGGGACCACUGGGUCAGCCCGAGGCAUGGCUCUUUAUGAGGAGGAGCAGGUGGAGCGUAUUGGUGACGUCGAGGAGCGUGGCAAGAUCCUGGUCUCCCUCAUGUACAGCACACAGCAGGGAGGCCUCAUUGUGGGCAUCAUACGCUGCGUGCACCUGGCUGCCAUGGAUGCUAAUGGCUACUCAGAUCCAUUCGUCAAGCUCUGGCUGAAACCGGACAUGGGAAAGAAGGCCAAACACAAGACUCAAAUUAAAAAGAAAACUUUGAAUCCCGAAUUCAAUGAGGAGUUUUUCUAUGACAUCAAACACAGUGACCUGGCAAAGAAGUCACUGGACAUUUCAGUCUGGGACUAUGACAUCGGCAAGUCCAAUGAUUACAUCGGAGGCUGCCAGCUGGGGAUCUCUGCCAAGGGAGAGCGCUUAAAACACUGGUACGAGUGUCUGAAAAAUAAAGACAAGAAGAUAGAGCGCUGGCACCAGCUACAGAAUGAGAACCACGUGUCAAGUGAUUAGGCUAGUGCCCAGGUCCCCAACUCCAUGUCCCGGGUCCCCCCCAGCCUGCCCUAGCUGCCCACCGCACCCUGAUCUCUCUUCUCUAUGCCUACCUCCCCCCAUACCCUGCUGAUCUCCCUGAGCCUGCCUUUGAGCCCCCGUCACGUUGGGCACUGCUGCCAAAGACUCCCUCCUCCCUGAUGCUGGGAUGUGGGCUCUGAAUACCGCCCCUCUCUGGUCCCUGGGAUGGAGCAAUGGGGAUGGGGUUGGGGAGAUGUUUACAAAGAGGUUGAUCAUUUAAUAACCUCUCAGUUUGGGUAAAUUACAAAGGUUCUUCAUCAUUUAGGACUGUUUUUAGACCCUCCUAGCCUUGAACACACACAUGCACACACACACACACACACACACACACCCUUUCAUUCCCUGUGUUGUGUCUCUGUAUAUCCCCAGUUGUCAGCAGACCCGGACAAUGCUGUGAGAGAAGCACUGGGGCAGAAAUGGAGCCUCUAGGCUCCCACUGCCCCCUGAGAUGUACACCCUGAUUGCCAGGAAAACAGACUGCUGUGUUCAGGAACACACCUUCCCUGCUCCAAGUGCACCAGGAUGCAAAUGCACAGAAUUCCCCAGGGGCUUGGAUGCUCUCCUCUUUCCAAAUGUCACCUGUGUGCUUCCUAGCAAAACAAAAACAAACGACAACAACAAAAAACCCUUCCUCUGUCGCCUUUUCUCCUCCUCCCUCUUCUUUCCCUUCCAUCGUAGUAGAUUCUCUCUUUCUCAGCCUUUCCCCUCUCCUUUCUCUCCCUGCCUUUCUUUCCUUUGCCUUCCUCUCUCUCUAAAGCAGUAACACUGCAAAAACAACAGCAAAAAAGUGUAUGUUAACCUAGCCUCACCUCCUUGCUCUCACCAGCCUGACCAGGAAACUGAGAAACUGGCCUAAACCUGAGAUUCCACUUGGGCCCAUGCUUCUUAAGUGACCCACUCCUCCCGUUGGCAGAGCCAGACAUUCCCAGGGCUUGGGCCAGUGGCUGGCACUGCCCUGGGUGCAUGACAGCAUCCCUUGAGCUGUGUAGAUGCCCCAUAGAGGGGCUCUGUCAUCCGUGGGCUCCCCGGGUGGGCACAGAGGCAUUUAGAAGACCAGGGCUAUGGGUCUGAGGGAGCCUCAUCCAAAGCCUCCAGCCUUUCUCCUUUCUCCGCUCUUAGGUAAACAAACAAGCUACCCUCCUCCCCAAUGCCCUUUGACUCUGUUUCAUUGACUCUCUUGCAUCCCAUCUCUCACUCAGAACCCCCUCCAGUCUCUCUGUCUCUUUGUGUGUCUCUCUGUCUCCUGCACUCUCUUUACUAAGCUUCCUGGGAGAAUCAAAUAAUAUCAUGGCUAUGGAACAGUAGAGAGAGACAGGCCUGAUGCCAAAGGCUUUGGGCUCAUCAUCAAUCUUUCAGUUUCUUCCUAUAAAAAAAAUUAUUUUAUAAGGGAGGAAAAGGCAACGCGGGCAAACAUUAAAAAUUUGAGGUUGAGGUCAGGCAAUCUUCAGUGCCCUGUGAGAAAGGUUUGAUUUUCCCAAUUCUGAUGAAGUCUUCCCUCAUGAAAAUCACCCUCAGUCAUCCCAAACCCCUGACAUUCUCUACAGAAGCAUCAGACAGACACUCAAACUCUCACUUUCCUCAAAUCACAUCUCUUAACUUUUCAACACCCUCCACCCUCAGCUCCCUGCACAAUUCAUGGGAGGACUCAUUUCUUGCCUUGAAUAACCAUUUUCUAAACAUCGAGCUCUUCACCUUCCCCAAGGUGGCCAACAGCUUCCCGGCUGCCAUCUUUCCUUUUGACCUUAUCUUUCCCCAUUAGUCCCUGGUGGCACCUACUCUCAGCCCACCUCCCCCACCACAGUUUCCCCUUAGGAGACAGCAUGCUGGCUGUGUCGCCCAAGCCUGAUGCUGGUGUAGGCGCUGGAAUCAGCAUGCAGCAAGCUCACAGUGCCCCUAGUCUGGGUGCACGCUCUCCCCGACAAAUGUAACCACCUCCUUGCCUAGAAUACACACACGUCCUCCGGUGCAUGCACAACCACCCAGCAUCUUUCUUUGUGAUGAUGUAGCCAAAAAUAAAGUAGGAACAUCCAGGAAAA